UUAAAAAGUUAAUUGUUAAAUCAAUUUAAUUUGAAAUUAAUAUUUUAUUAAUAAUUAUGUUUAAAUUUUAAUAUUAAAAGAAAUAAUUUUAAAUUUAUUAUUUUAAAGAAAAAUUUAAUUUUUAUGAUAAAGAAGUAGUAUUGUGAAAGAAAAGUUUUAAUUGGUAAAAGAAAAAUUUAUUUUUUGUACCUUGUGCAUCAGGGUUUAUUAAAAGUAAUUUUAAUAUUAAAUAAUCUCGAAUUUAAAAGAGCUAAGAAUUUAAAAUUAAUAUUGUAAAAUAACUAUAUUAAAUAAUUUUUUAGUAAUGAAAUGUUAUUCGUUUUUAAAUAUAUCUAGUUUUUUAAGAAAUAAAUUUAAUUUAUUUAUUAUUAAUAUUUAAUUUUUUAAUUAAUUUUAUAUUAAUAAUAUUAAAUAUUUUUAGGGAUGAGCUUAAAAAUAAAUUUUUAUUAAAAAUUAUUAGUUUAAAAAUAUUUUAGGAUUAUAAAUUUUCAUAAUUUAAAGUAUGUUAUAAUUUAUUUUUUAUGUUUAUAUAAUUUUUAUUUUUUAUAAAUUUUUUAUUAAAAUAUAUUUUAAAAUAUUAAAAAAAUAGUAAUAAUGAUAAAAUUAGUAUAAUUUUAUUUUAGAAUUAAAUUAAAUUUAAGGUUUAUAAAAGGAACUCGGCAAAUUAUUUUUCACCUGUUUAUUAAAAACAUGUCCUUUUGUUUAAAAUUUAAGGUCUAACCUGCCCACUGAUUAUUUAAAUGGCCGCGGUAUUUUGACCGUGCUAAGGUAGCAUAAUCAUUAGUUUUUUAAUUGAAAGCUGGAAUGAAGGGUUGAAUGAAAAAAUAACUGUCUCUUAUAAAUUUUAUUAGAAUUUUAUUUUUAAGUUAAAAAGCUUAAAUGAGUUUAAAAGACGAGAAGACCCUAUAGAGUUUAAUAUAAUUUAUAUUUUUUAAAAAAUAGUAUUUAAUUUUUAAAAUAUUUGUUGUAUUUAGUUGGGGUGAUUGAAAAAUUUAAUAAACUUUUUUUUUAUAUUUAUAUAAAUUAAUAGAUAUUUGAUCCAAAAUUUUUGAUUAUAAGAUUAAAUUACCUUAGGGAUAACAGCGUAAUUUUAUUGGAGAGUUCUAAUCGAUAAUAAAGAUUGCGACCUCGAUGUUGGAUUAAAAUUUAUUUUUGGUGUAGCAGCUAAAAAAUUAAGUCUGUUCGACUUUUAAAAUUUUACAUGAUCUGAGUUUAAACCGGUGUAAGCCAGGUUGGUUUCUAUCUUUAAAAAGUUAAUUUAUUUUAGUACGAAAGGACCAGAUAAA
rnacentral:rRNA from 1 species